rnacentral:lncRNA from 1 species
GAACAAAAUUGUAAACUAAGGCUUAUGUAUUACACAAUGUCCUAAAAACAUAUUCACUCACUCAUCAUAUGUAUUUGAGAUUUUGUUUCAACGACUGUUUUUUAGGAUGCAACAAAAAAAUAUUAAAACCUAAGCACUAAAUUUAUACUCUGACUAACUAUCACUAGGAUUUGGACAUCAAACUGGAAAAUUUCGGAGGCAGAGAAGGAAAUUCUCUGACCACGGAAAUGAGACAUUUUGUUUUCUUUCUUGUCUAGAACAAAAGAAAAUCAAGCUCUGAAAUAGAUUUCAAUGGAUGAUUCAACAGUCCAUCUGCCACAAGUGCUACAACCAUCGAUGAAAUUUUGGGGGCUAUUUUGCAAAUUUUUCUUAUCAUAUUAUUUUUCCUAUUUUAAUUUGAAGUUAACUUUAUCCAAAGCACGAAUCUGCUCCAACAAUGACUCUCGCUAUUGUUUUUAUUGUUGACUCCAUUUAUCUUCAAGCUGAUCAAGAUGAUUUUGAACUUGUUACAAAACGGAAUCGUUAGUUAAGUUGUGUAUGCUUUUCUUCUUGCAGGGCUUCAAGCCGUCUUCGUUACAUUCUUUUGGUUUCUAAUUGGUCUCAAUUUAGUGUUGUGAUUUUUCUUCUUGUUAUUUCCUCUUUGAGGAGACUUUGCCCAUUCACAUCCUUUAGAUGGCUGAUUUUUAAUUUAAUUGAGUAUACAUGUAAAUUUUGCUAUUUUAUUUAGAAUAUUGUUGAAAGAAAUUAAUAAUUACCUCUAUUCGUUAGUAAGCUUGAGCACUUUAGCCGAAACCUAACCUCCCAAACCAAAAUCAAUCCGGAGCCUGAGGUUUGAUCCGAUUCUCAAGGUUCGGAUCGUUUUCUAUUCAUGGACAGUUGGACCAGAAUCGUAGGUACCGAAUAGAGUUGAUUUUUUAUAUAUAAUUUUUUUUAUUGGUAGGGUAAAGAAAUACAGAACCUAAAAGCUUUGAUUUUGGUAUUAAUUUAUCUAAAACUCUAGAUUCUAACCCUAAGAAAUCAUGAUUGACUUCUACUUUUUGUAUCUAGCCUUAAAUCAUAUUGUUGAACUUCAGAAGUUAGUAUAUAUUAAUCUUUAGUAUUUAAGCUUUCUAUGAAUCAAAAAGUUCAAGCAAGUAUUGUUGGGUAAGUUGAUGUAUGACGUUCAUUUUUUGCAAUUCGAGCUUUUUAUUUUCUUGCAUUGUUUAAGAACUUAAUGAUUUUUUUUUUUAAUAAUGCAUGUCAUAUAAACUUGAUAUAUACAUAACUUGGGCUAUGGCGUACCUUUUCGUUAUAUUGAGUUUGUGAUUCUCUUUUGAGAUAUAAUUUUUCAUUUCUUAUUCAAGCAGAUCGAGUUCAAUAUGUGGUUUCAAUUUCUUGAUAUUAU